UGCGGUACUACCGCGCGGUAGCGGUAGAACCGCGCGGUAGUACCGCACUAGCUUAAACUACCGCACUACCGCGUUAUUUCUCAAAUUUCCGUGCGGUAGCGGUAGUUUUCAACGCCAUCUAGCGCUCAUAGUAAAAAACACAAUUACAAAACAACAGAUGGCAGUCUUAUUUUUCUCGAGCAUUCUAUCAAUUCUGUCAAGAUAACCGAUCAGUCUGAUCUUUCCUGCUUUCAGACAUUAGAUCAUUGAAUCAUAGUUCAUAUUCCUAAACUAAUUGAUUGACAAAUUUGAAUGAAAUAUCAUGGCGGGUAUGCGAGGAAGGCCACCGUCAGUUACAUCCCUAAAAAAUAAUGAAAAAGGCACGACAGUCCAUCAUAUGUCUACCCGAAAAAAGUCAGUGCCCAGUUCAAGUUCCAAGAAAAAACGUGCUUGUGACACAGAGCAACAGGAAGGGAACAAGAACAAUGAAACUGAAAGUUAGUUGCAAAGUGAAUCGUCGACUUCAACCUCAUUGCCAUUGUCAGUUGGAGCUGUUCCACAAAGAUCUACAAACACCCAAUCAUUAGAUCCAUCACGUAACUCACGAUACUCUUCCUCUUCGUCCCAUACUUCAACAUCAAGUCGUCAUAGUGUACCACAGGAUGUUCUGACAGAAGGACAUGUCAAGAGGCUUGCCUACCCAUUAUCUUUCUUUGAAUAUCAUGGACCUUCACAGAAAGAAGGAAAUUCACUAUACAUCUGCACAGUUAAGGGAUGCAAAAGAGAUAAACCAUUUUCCACCGUAAACAAUUCCAGGGGAAAUCUUCGUUCUCAUGUUAAAUCGUGUCAUAAGGAGAAGCUAGAGGAAUUCAAUGCAGUUUGCAGGGAUCUUGAUUCAAAGAAGGCAAUGGCUACAGGUUUACCUAUCUCAACCAAUAACAGUGCCAAGGACGAUCAGAAUCAGUUGGAGGGAAACGACGAAACGCAACAGAAAUCCUUUACUCAACAAAAGAUUCAUUUUUCGGGUUACAGGAAACCAUUGACAGAGAAGGAA